rnacentral:lncRNA from 1 species
AUUGUGCCAAUAUUCUAUCCUUGAAUAAUACUAUUUUGGGAAGUGCAUAUGCUGACACAUCCUUAAUAAAUACGAUAUCUAGGAGAUCUUUAUAGCAAAACCAAUGGGACGGCUAUGGAGGCUCAACUUUCUAGCUUAUUUUCAUAGUUCAGCUUCACGACAUACCUUAACUAGUCAGCCUCACCAGCAAGUCUAUUUCCAUCGCCCGAGCUAAUAAGUUAGCUCCGCCACGGAAGUGGGGAGGCAAGUAAUAUGCCUUAGAAUUGACUACAAUUGACAUGGCAGA